GAUGAACGCUGGCGGCGUGCCUAAUACAUGCAAGUCGAGCGAACAGACGAGGAGCUUGCUCCUCUGACGUUAGCAGCGGACGGGUGAGUAACACGUGGAUAACCUACCUAUAAGACUGGGAUAACUUCGGGAAACCGGAGCUAAUACCGGAUAAUAUAUUGAACCGCAUGGUUCAAUAGUGAAAGACGGUUUUGCUGUCACUUAUAGAUGGAUCCGCGCCGCAUUAGCUAGUUGGUAAGGUAACGGCUUACCAAGGCAACGAUGCGUAGCCGACCUGAGAGGGUGAUCGGCCACACUGGAACUGAGACACGGUCCAGACUCCUACGGGAGGCAGCAGUAGGGAAUCUUCCGCAAUGGGCGAAAGCUUGACGGAGCAACGCCGCGUGAGUGAUGAAGGUCUUCGGAUCGUAAAACUCUGUUAGUAGGGAAGAACAAAUGUGUAAGUAACUAUGCACGUCUUGACGGUACCUAAUCAGAAAGCCACGGCUAACUACGUG
rnacentral:rRNA from 1 species